rnacentral:rRNA from 1 species
UACGUAGGGUGCAAGCGUUUGUCCGGAAUUAUUGGGCGUAAAAAGCUCGUAGGCGGUUUGUCGCGUCUGCUGUGAAAACGCGAGGCUCAACCUCGCGCCUGCAGUGGGGUACGGGCAGACUAGAGUGCGGUAGGGGGAGACUGGAAUUCCUGGUGUAGCGGUGAAAUGACGCAGAUAUCAGGGAGGGAACACCGGUGGGCGAAAGGCGGGGUCUCUGGGCCGGAACUGACGCUGGAGGGAAGCGAGAGCGUGGGGGGAGCGAA